ACACUCCUGCGGGAGGCAGCAGUGGGGAAUUUUGGACAAUGGGCGAAAGCCUGAUCCAGCAAUGCCGCGUGAGUGAAGAAGGCCUUCGGGUUGUAAAGCUCUUUUGUCAGGGAAGAAACGGUGAGAGCUAAUAUCUCUUGCUAAUGACGGUACCUGAAGAAUAAGCACCGGCUAACUACGUGCCAGCAGCCGCGGUAAUACGUAGGGCGCAAGCGUUAAUCGGAAUUACUGGGCGUAAAGCGUGCGCAGGCGGUUUUGUAAGUCUGAUGUGAAAUCCCCGGGCUCAACCUGGGAAUUGCAUUGGAGACUGCAAGGCUAGAAUCUGGCAGAGGGGGGUAGAAUUCCACGGGUAGCAGUGAAAUGCGUAGAUAUGUGGAGGAACACCGAUGGCGAAGGCAGCCCCCUGGGUCAAGAUUGACGCUCAUGCACGAAAGCGUGGGGAGCAAACAGGAUUAGAAACCCCGGUAGUCCCAU
rnacentral:rRNA from 1 species